rnacentral:rRNA from 1 species
GAUGAACGCUAGCGGCAGGCUUAACACAUGCAAGUCGAGGGGUAGAGGCUUUCGGGCCUUGAGACCGGCGCACGGGUGCGUAACGCGUAUGCAAUCUGCCUUGUACUGGGGGAUAGCCCAGAGAAAUUUGGAUUAAUACUCCAUAGUAUUUUCGGUUGGCAUCAACUGAUUAUUAAAGUUUUUCGGUACAAGAUGAGCAUGCGUCCCAUUAGCUAGUUGGUAUGGUAACGGCGUACCAAGGCUACGAUGGGUAGGGGUCCUGAGAGGGAGAUACCCCAAACUGGUACUGAGACACGGACCAGACGCCUACGGGAGGCAGCAGUGAGGAAUAUUGGUCAAUGGUCGCAAGACUGAUCCAGCCAUGCCGCGUGCAGGAUGAAGCAUCUAUGGUGUGUAAACUGCUUUUGUACGGGAAGAAACACUCCUACGUGUAGGAGCUUGACGGUACCGUAAGAAUAAGGAUCGGCUAACUCCGUGCCAGCCGCCGCCGUAAAAC